rnacentral:rRNA from 1 species
UACAGAGGUCUCAAGCGUUGUUCGGAAUCACUGGGCGUAAAGGGUGCGUAGGCGGCGGAGUAAGUCGGGUGUGAAAUUUGAAGGCUCAACCUUCAACUAGCACCUGAUACUACUUUGCUCGAGGCCUGAAGAGGAGCUUGGAAUUCUCGGUGUAGCAGUGAAAUGCGUAGAUUUCGAGAAGAACGCUCGCAGCGAAAAGCGAAGCUCUGGUCAGGUUCUGACGCUGAGGCACGAAGGCUAGGGGAGCAAACGGG